rnacentral:rRNA from 1 species
UUCAAAGCUUCAAACUGGGAUUAGAUACCCCACUAUUCUUAGAUAUAAAUUGGUUAAAUUUCCUACCAGAGUACUAUGAACUAUAAGUUUAAAACUCAAAGAACUUGGCGGUGCCUUAGACCCCUCAGGGGAACCUGUUCCGUAAUCGACAGUCCACGUUAGACCUCUCCUUUUUUUGCUUUAUUCAGUAUGUAUACCGUCGUCGUCAGGUAACUUUUUAAAAUAACAAAGUUAGCGAAAAAGCUUUUAGCUUUUACGUCAGAUCAAGGUGCAGCUAAUAGAAAGGUGAGAAUGGGUUACAAUUAGAAUUAGUAAUAUGGAAAGCAGAGUGAAAUCUCUUCUUGAAGGAGGACUUGAAAGUAAGAUCAAAAAAUCUAAAUUUUCUGAAUUUUUGGCUCUGAGGCGUGCACACACCGCCCGUCACCCUCUGCAGUCAA